rnacentral:rRNA from 1 species
AUUGAACGCUGGCGGCAUGCCUUACACAUGCAAGUCGAACGGCAGCACGGGAGCAAUCCUGGUGGCGAGUGGCGAACGGGUGAGUAAUGUAUCGGAACGUGCCCAGUCGUGGGGGAUAACGUAGCGAAAGCUACGCUAAUACCGCGUACGAUCUAUGGAUGAAAGCGGGGGAUCGCAAGACCUCGCGCGAUUGGAGCGGCCGAUAUCGGAUUAGGUAGUUGGUGGGGUAAAGGCUCACCAAGCCGACGAUCUGUAGCUGGUCUGAGAGGACGACCAGCCACACUGGGACUGAGACACGGCCCAGACUCCUACGGGAGGCAGCAGUGGGGAAUUUUGGACAAUGGGCGAAAGCCUGAUCCAGCAAUGUCGCGUGCAGGAUGAAGGCCUUCGGGUUGUAAACUGCUUUUGUACGGAACGAAACGGCGAACUCUAAUACAGUUUGCUAAUGACGGUACCGUAAGAAUAAGCACCGGCUAACUACGUGCCAGCCGCCGCUGUAA